CUCAAAUAUAGAAAGUGACCUAGAAAUGCUGUGUAUUUUGGGUUGUAUUUAUGUAUUAGUUGGGCCAUCGUAAGAUACCUGUAUCAACUGCUAGCUAGCAUAAUGGAGGCAGAGGAAAGACAUGGAGCUGGGUUGGAGAAGUCCAUGAAAAUUCAGAGGUAUCAAAACAUCUUUGUUAUAUAUUGAGGUAUUUGGGCAAUGUUAAACCCUAUUGGACUAAAUAGGGAUGGAAACUAAAAUAUAAACCUUUCUUUAAUUUGGGUACGAGUAGGUGAGAAAGCAUGACCUAAGAUUACAUUUGACUUAGAUGUAACAAUUCCAUCCCCUUUCAAUGAAUAUGGACUAAAUAGGUAUUCAGGAUUUCUCUGUUCAAUUCUUUCCUGGGAUUUUUUUGCACUUGGUUUUUCUUGGGUUUGUACAAAGGGAACAUGUUCUUGAAUCCAUCCAUCCCUUUACUGUAUCAUUGCAGUCUCAUGAGCUUGAAACAGUGAUCAAAUGAACAAAAUUUAUAGCAUAUUUUUUACCCCAUCUAAGCUUUACACAGGCUACUUAAUUCUGAUAUUGUUUUCACAAAUUUUUUUUGACCAAUCCGAACUACUCGAAAAUACAGGACUCCUCGGAUGUCUAAUCUGUGUCAACACAGUCCAUGUGUCUGUGCCCGUGAGUAUUUGGGGAAGAAAUUGUAUUGCUCUGUUAAAAGGUUGAAUGUGUAAUUUGAUAUAUUUAAUUUUUAAUUUAUUUUCAAUGUGCUACUAAUACAACUGUUAAUAUUGCCACGCCUGAAGUGUCCUUGAAUGCUUCCACUCAUUAGCGUUGUUUGUUUUAUUGUAUUUAAGCACUGCCUUAAUAAAUUCUCUGUUGUUCUGUGUAAUGCUGAAUUCAGUUCCAUGAGGGGCUUUCUGUCUUGUUUAAACUUUAAAUUGGAAGCAUCCUGGAUCAUUUCACUUGUCUGCUCUUCAUUGGGUGUCGAAGUAAUUACUAGAUUUUUCAGAUUGAUACAUUUGGUUGGUUAUUCGGCUCCUGGUCGACCUGUGCCCCC
ensembl:lncRNA